GACGAACGCUGGCGGCGUGCCUAAUACAUGCAAGUAGAACGCUGAAGGAGGAGCUUGCUUCUCUGGAUGAGUUGCGAACGGGUGAGUAACGCGUAGGUAACCUGCCUGGUAGCGGGGGAUAACUAUUGGAAACGAUAGCUAAUACCGCAUAAGAGUAGAUGUUGCAUGACAUUUGCUUAAAAGGUGCAAUUGCAUCACUACCAGAUGGACCUGCGUUGUAUUAGCUAGUUGGUGGGGUAACGGCUCACCAAGGCGACGAUACAUAGCCGACCUGAGAGGGUGAUCGGCCACACUGGGACUGAGACACGGCCCAGACUCCUGCGGGAGGCAGCAGUAGGGAAUCUUCGGCAAUAGACGGAAGUCUGACCGAGCAACGCCGCGUGAGUGAAGAAGGUUUUCGGAUCGUAAAGCUCUGUUGUAAGAGAAGAACGAGUGUGAGAGUGGAAAGUUCACACUGUGACGGUAUCUUACCAGAAAGGGACGGCUAACUACGUG
rnacentral:rRNA from 1 species